rnacentral:rRNA from 1 species
UCGGACCGAACUAAAGUAGGGAAGUGUGUGAGCCAUGAAUCAAGAAAAGCCGCUAUUGUUUUUAAGAUACCCGUACCGUAAACCGACACAGGUGGAUGAGGAGAGAAUCCUAAGGCCGGCGGAAGAAGCAUUGUUAAGGAACUCGGCAAAAUGACCCCGUAACUUCGGGAGAAGGGGUGCCAGCGAGAGUUGGCCGCAGAGAAUAGGCUCAAGCAACUGUUUAGCGAAAACACAGGUCUAUGCAAAACCGUAAGGUGAGGUAUAUGGGCUGACGCCUGCCCGGUGCUGGAAGGUUAAGAGGAGAGGUUAGCGCAAGCGAAGCUUUGAAUUUAAGCCCCAGUAAACGGCGGCCGUAACGAUAACGGUCCUAAGGUAGCGAAAUUCCUUGUCGGGUAAGUUCCGACCCGCACGAAAGGCGUAAUGAUUUGAGCGCUGUCUCGACAAUGCAUCCGGUGAAAUUGAAGUACCAGUGAAGAUGCUGGUUACCCGCGCCAGGACGGAAAGACCCCAUGGAGCUUUACUCCAGUUUGGUACUGGGGUCCGGCAGUGCAUGUACAGGAUAGGUGGGAGGCUGUGAACCUGGAACGCCAGUUUCAGGGGAGCCAUUGUUGGGAUACCACCCUUGUGCUGCUGGGCUUCUAACCAGCGGCCUUUAUCAGGCCGGGGGACAAUGCCAGACGGGGAGUUUGACUGGGGCGGUCGCCUCCGAAAGGGUAUCGGAGGCGCUCAAAGGUUCCCUCAGAAUGGUCGGAAACCAUUCGAAGAGUGCAAAGGCAGAAGGGAGCUAGACUGCGACACCGACGGGUGGAGCAGGUACGAAAGUAGGACUUAGUGAUCCGGUGGUAUUAAGUGGGAAUGCCAUCGCUCAACGGAUAAAAGCUACCCUGGGAUAACAGGCUUAUCACUCCCAAGAGUUCACAUCGACGGAGUGGUUUGGCACCUCGAUGUCGGCUCAUCGCAUCCUGGGGCUGUAGUAGGUCCCAAGGGUUGGGCUGUUCGCCCAUUAAAAGCGGUACGCGAGCUGGGUUCAGAACGUCGUGAGACAGUUCGGUCCCUAUCCGGCGUGGGCGUAGGAUAUUUGAGAGGAGCUGUCCUUAGUACGAGAGGACCGGGAUGGACUGACCUCUGGUGUACCGGUUGAACCGCCAGGUUCACGGCCGGGUAGCCAAGUCGGGAAGGGAUAAACGCUGAAGGCAUCUAAGCGUGAAGCCCCCCUCAAGAUGAGAUAUCCCAUUCGAAAGAAGUAAGACCCCUUGAAGACGACGAGGUAGAUAGGGCAGAGGUGGAAGUGCCGUAAGGCAUGGAGCUGACUGUUACUAAUCGGUCGAGGGCUUGACCG